UGGGGAAUAUUGCACAAUGGGCGAAAGCCUGAUGCAGCGACGCCGCGUGCGGGAUGAAGGCCUUCGGGUUGUAAACCGCUUUUGAUUGGGAGCAAGCGAGAGUGAGUGUACCUUUCGAAUAAGCACCGGCUAACUACGUGCCAGCAGCCGCGGUAAUACGUAGGGUGCAAGCGUUAUCCGGAAUUAUUGGGCGUAAAGAGCUCGUAGGCGGUUUGUCGCGUCUGGUGUGAAAGUCCAUCGCUUAACGGUGGAUCUGCGCCGGGUACGGGCAGGCUAGAGUGCGACAGGGGAGACUGGAAUUCCCGGUGUAACGGUGGAAUGUGUAGAUAUCGGGAAGAACACCAAUGGCGAAGGCAGGUCUCUGGGUCGU
rnacentral:rRNA from 1 species